rnacentral:rRNA from 1 species
GCUCGUAGUUGAACUUGAAGUGUACAUGGAUGGUGUACUUAGCAGUGCUACUGUUUGGUGUAUGCUUGAUGGGUGGACUAGCUGCAUGCACGCAAGUGUGUGCCAGUGAUGUCCAGCGUUUACUGUGAAAAAAUUAGAGUGUUUAAAGCAGGCUGGAUGGGCUUGAAUACAUUAGCAUGGAAUAACUGAAUAGGCUCUGAGGGCUAUUUUGUUGGUUUUGGGUGGCUCAGAGAAUGAUUAACAGGAACAGUUGGGGGCAUUAGUAUUUAAUGGCUAGAGGUGAAAUUCUUGGAUUCAUUAAAGACUAACUACUGCGAAAGCAUUUGCCAAGGAUGUUUUCAUUAAUCAAGAACGAAAGUUAGGGGAUCGAAGACGAUUAGAUACCGUCGUAGUCUUAACCAUAAACUAUGUCGACUCAGAAUUGCUGCACGGUUGCUUGAUGCCGGCAGCAGGGCUGUGUGGGAAACCAAAGUGUUUGGAUUCCGGGGGGAGUGUGGUUGCAAGGCUGAAACUUAAAGGAAUUGACGGAAGGGCACCACCAGGAGUGGAUUAUGCGGCUUAAUUUGACUCAACACGGGGAAACUUACCAGGUCAGAACAUAGUGAGGAUUGACAGAUUGAGAGCUCUUUCUUGAUUCUAUGGGUGGUGGUGCAUGGCCGUUCUUAGUUGGUGGAGUGAUUUGUCUGGUUAAUUCCGAUAACGAACGAGACCUUAACCUGCUAACUAGAGCAUGGAAGACUUGUGCUUCCAUCAUGGGGCUCUUCUUAGAGGGACUGUCGAUGUCUAAUUGACGGAGGUUUGAGGCAAUAACAGGUCUGUG